AGUGAACGCUGGCGGUAGGCCUAACACAUGCAAGUCGAACGGCAGCACAGUAAGAGCUUGCUCUUACGGGUGGCGAGUGGCGGACGGGUGAGGAAUACAUCGGAAUCUACUUUUUCGUGGGGGAUAACGUAGGGAAACUUACGCUAAUACCGCAUACGACCUACGGGUGAAAGCAGGGGAUCUUCGGACCUUGCGCGAUUGAAUGAGCCGAUGUCGGAUUAGCUAGUUGGCGGGGUAAAGGCCCACCAAGGCGACGAUCCGUAGCUGGUCUGAGAGGAUGAUCACCCACACUGGAACUGAGACACGGCCCAGACUCCUACGGGGGGCAGCAGGGGGGAAUUUUGGAAAAGGGGCGCAACCCUGACCCAGCCAUCCCGGGGGGGUGAAGAAGGCCUUCGGGUUGUAAAGCCCUUUUUUUGGGAAAAAAAAGCAGCAGGUUAAUCCCCCGCUGUUCUGACGGUACCCAAAGAAUAAGCACCGGCUAACUUCGU
rnacentral:rRNA from 1 species